GAUGAAGAACGUAGCGAAACGCGAUAAGUAAUGUGAAUUGCAGAAUUCAGUGAAUCAUCGAAUCUUUGAACGCACAUUGCGCCCGUCAGUAUUCUGGCGGGCAUGCCUGUUCGAGCGUCAUUACGCCCCUCAAGUCCCCUGUGGACUUGGUGUUGGGGAUCGGCGAGGCUGGUUUUCCAGCACAGCCGUCCCUUAAAUUAAUUGGCGGUCUCGCCGUGGCCCUCCUCUGCGCAGUAGUAAAACACUCGCAACAGGAGCCCGGCGCGGUCCACUGCCGUAAAACCCCCCAACUUUUUAUAGUUGACCUCGAAUCAGGUAGGACUACCCGCUGAACUUAAGCAUAUCAAUAAGCGGAGGA
rnacentral:misc_RNA from 1 species